rnacentral:rRNA from 1 species
AAGCACGGGUGAGUAACGCGUAUCCGACCUUCCGCACACUCCGGGCCAGCCUUCCGAAAGGAAGAUUAAUCCCGGAUGGUAUGGCGUGGCUGCAUGGCAGCGCCAUUAAAGGAGCGAUCCGGUGUGCGAUGGGGGUGCGUUCCAUUAGCUUGUUGGCGGGGUAACGGCCCACCAAGGCGACGAUGGAUAGGGGUUCUGAGAGGAAGGCCCCCCACAUUGGGACUGAGACACGGCCCAAACUCCUACGGGAGGCAGCAGUGAGGAAUAUUGGUCAAUGGGCGCGAGCCUGAACCAGCCAAGUAGCGUGGAGGAUGACCGCCCUACGGGUUGUAAACUCCUUUUAUAAGGGAAUAAAACCUCCCACGUGUGGGAGCUUGUAUGUACCUUAUGAAUAAGCAUCGGCUAACUCCGUGCCAGCAGCCGCGGUAAUACGGAGGAUGCGAGCGUUAUCCGGAUUUAUUGGGCUCUUAAAGGGAGCGUAGACGGGAUGUCAAGUCAGCUGUGAAAGUUUGCGGCUCAACCGUAAAAUUGCGGUUGAAACUGGCUUUCUUGAGUGCGUUCGAGGCAGGCGGAAUUCGUGGUGUAGCGGUGAAAUGCGUAGAUAUCACGAAGAACCCCGAUUGCGAAGGCAGCCUGCUAGGCCGCAACUGACGUUGAUGCUCGAAAGUGCGGGUAUCAAACAGGAUUAGAUACCCUGGUAGUCCGCACGGUAAACGAUGGGCACUCGCUGCCGGCGAUAUACUGCCGGCGGCUUAGCGAAAGCGUUAAGUGCCCCACCUGGGGAGUACGCCGGCAACGGUGAAACUCAAAGGAAUUGACGGGGGCCCGCACAAGCGGAGGAACAUGUGGUUUAAUUCGAUGAUACGCGAGGAACCUUACCCGGGCUUGAACUGCGGAUGAAUUGCGCGGAAACGUGCAAGUGGGCAACCACAUCCGUGGAGGUGCUGCAUGGUUGUCGUCAGCUCGUGCCGUGAGGUGUCGGCUUAAGUGCCAUAACGAGCGCAACCCCUUCCGCCAGUUGCCAUCAGGCAAUGCUGGGGACUCUGGCGGUACUGCCAUCGUAAGAUGCGAGGAAGGUGGGGAUGACGUCAAAUCAGCACGGCCCUUACGUCCGGGG